rnacentral:tRNA from 1 species
UGGGGGAUCGUCCAGUGGCAGGACGACGGGUUCUGGCCCCGUUAACCGAGGUUCGAAUCCUCGUCCCCCAGCCA